CAUUAAGACGCGAUGAAUACGUCCCUGUUCUUUGUACACACCGCCCGUCGUUAUCGAAGAUGAAGACAGGCGCGAGCGAUCUACCAGAAAGUGAGCGCAGGUCUUUAGAUCUGAUACAAGUCGUAACAAGGUAGCUGUAGGAGAUCCUGUAGCUGG
rnacentral:rRNA from 1 species